AGUCGGACGGGCUGUCGCCGCGCGUCAGGCCGCAAGGCAUUGAGGCGGAGAGGAAAGUCCGGGCUUCACAGGGCAAAACGCUGGGUAACGCCCAGAGAGAGCGAUCUCUGGAAAGCGCAACAGAAAGCAGACCGCCAGGCGGCCUUGCGCCGUACUGGUAAGGGUGAAAGGGUGGAGUAAGAGCCCACCGGUCGUCGUGGCGACACGGCGAGCCAGGCAAACCCCGUUUGAAGCAAGACCAAAUAGGGGAGCGGGCCGGCCCGGCCAGUCGCUCCCGGGUAGGUUGCUUGAGCCGUCGGGCAACCGGCGGCCUGGAUGAAUGACAGCCGCCCGCAAGGGUACAGAACCCGGCUUACAGGCCGGCUCC
rnacentral:RNase_P_RNA from 1 species